GACGAACCGUGCGAACGUUGUUCGGAUUCACUGGGCUUAAAGGGCGCGUAGGCGGGCGGUCAAGUCAGGGGUGAAAUCUUUCGGCUCAACCGGAAAAGUGCCUUUGAUACUGGCCGUCUCGAGGGAGGUAGGGGCAUGCGGAACUUCCGGUGGAGCGGUGAAAUGCGUAGAUAUCGGAAGGAAGACCAGUGGCGAAGGCGGGUCUCUGGACAGUUCCUGACGCUGAGGCACGAAGGCCAGGGGAGCAAACGGG
rnacentral:rRNA from 1 species